rnacentral:rRNA from 1 species
UACGGGGGGGGGCAAGCGUUGUUCGGAAUUACUGGGCGUAAAGGGCUUGUAGGCGGCCAACUAAGUCCGACGUGAAAUCCCCAGGCUUAACCUGGGAACUGCGUCGGAUACUGGAUGGCUUGAAUUCGGGAGAGGGAUGCAGAAUUCCAGGUGUAGCGGUGAAAUGCGUAGAUAUCGGGAGGAACACCAAUGGCGAAGGCAGCUCGCUGGGACGUUACUGACGCUGAGACGCGAAAGCGUGGGGAGCAAACAGG